UACGUAGGGUGCGAGCGUUAAUCGGAAUUACUGGGCGUAAAGCGUGCGCAGGCGGUUCGUUGUGUCCGGUGAAAAGCCCCGAGCUUAACAUGGGAAUGGCAUUGGAAACUGGCGAGCUGGAGUGUGGCAGAGGGGGGUGGAAUUCCACGUGUAGCAGUGAAAUGCGUAGAGAUGUGGAGGAACACCAGUGGCGAAGGCGACUCUUUGGUCUGUAACUGACGCUGAGGCGCGAAAGCGUGGGGAGCAAACAGG
rnacentral:rRNA from 1 species